GUGGAUUAGAUACCCGGGUAGUCCACGCCGUAAACUAUGGAUGCUAGCUGUUAGAGGUAUCGACCCCUCUAGUAGCGAAGCUAACGCGUUAAGCAUCCCGCCUGUGGAGUACGGUCGCAAGACUAAAACAUAAAGGAAUUGACGGGGACCCGCACAAGCGGUGGAGCGUGUUGUUUAAUUCGAUGGUAAGCGAAGAACCUUACCCAGGCUUGACAUCCUUGGAAGCACUUCGAAAGAAGCGUGUGCCUUCGGGAACCAAGUGACAGGUGCUGCAUGGCCGUCGUCAGCU
rnacentral:rRNA from 1 species